GCGCGUGGGAGUCUGGCCUGAAAAGAGGUUUUGAACUGCAGGUUCCGGAUGAUAUUUUAUGGUGAUAGCUCAGUCCUCAACAUUCUUACCUGGAAGUAAAUCCCAUUGGGAUCACUAGGAUUUAUUCCGGAACUUCAAUUAUACAUUUCUUCCUCCAAUGUUGAGUCCACAAAGAAACCCAACCUCACUAGAAGGUUUUCCCUGUUUACAGAGAUCUUUCUGUCUGUUCCAGCACUUUGGAGACUAGCAAUCAUUUAAAAAUGGAAAAUUGUCAUAUACAUAUCUGUAAAGGGAAGAGUAAUAUUUGUGAUAUGUGAUAUUUCAAAUGUUAAACUCCAACUCACAUCUGAUCCUGUCAGGCCUCAGAUAGCUAGCAGCAUCCUAUCAAAAUUUGGUCUUCCUCAUGCCUUUUUGGAACACCACACAUUUUCCAAAUUUGCAGUUAUGCUAGAGGAAAAACCCUUCAAAGAGAAGCUAUGUCUUUUAAGUAAAGAAAAGGUGGACUGACUUUAGAUGACAUAAAUUCGCUACACUUUAUACAAAUUUGCUUUAUGCAAAUUCAAUAUGGCAAUUUAUUAUUUCAUCCAAUAAUUCUGUAUGGGUGUGCAGAAACAUGUCAAAACUUCUUCCAUAAAAAAUGAAUAUGUUGAAUAUGUUGAAUAUUUUUCUUGUACAAAAUCGCUUUUCUGCCCUCACUAUCCUUAUUUACUGUGCUUGUGCCAAUUGUAUAUCCUCUUCCAUAUCUGAACCUGUAAUAGCCAUGAUAUCAAAAUGGGCAUCAACAUUUUGUGUAAACACCAUACUUAAAAAGAAAAGGAUCUCUCUAAUCAUGACCUUGGUGAAAGAACCUCACCCUCGGAUGAGCUUAUAUUGAAAGCUGAGCAAAAAAUCAUAGUGUUGUGAUGCAUUCUAACUGCCUAUCUGCCAUGAUAACCAUGCAUAUUGGAUAUGAAAAAAGAUGGAGACAAUAAUUUCACUCAUAGAAUCUACAACAUGACAGAAAUACAUUUGAAGAACAUAAGUUUUUGGAAUUUACAAGCACAUUUGUCAGUGUAUUCUUCAUAAUCCCCUUUUUCUACCAAUUCAGUGUCUUGCUUUAUGCAAAUUCACUUUAUGCAAGUUUUGGGAAAACAGCUCUAUUAUAAAGCAAGGAAAGUUUGAUAAUUUCCUAAUUUAAAAAAAUAAGAUACAUAGAUUAAUAAUGAGCUUUUCAUGACAUACUACUGCAUAUAAUAAUUAAGCCAAAUGAAAUGAAGUCAUUGACCAAAUGUAACUAUGUUGUCUACAGUUAACCAUGGGCAUUUCCCUAAUUCAUGUAUUAUAGGAGAAAUAUUUCUAAGUUCAUAUCCUAAAUAUGUGAAGUAUUUGUGCAAUUUUAAAAAGUGUUAAGCCAUUCAUAAUAUUUUCCCUAGUUUUAUAUUUUUAAUACAGAAGAAUUUGAGAGAGUCCAAGUAGGAAUGAGCAACAUACACUUUCACUUCCCAUCCAAUUUAUCCAUCAUUCUUGGUUCCAAAACAAAAAUAUAGCCUCAGUGCUGUUAUUUGUAAUUCAAUCCAUACUAUUACUCAACCGAGAAAUUGUUAGCUUAGGUACUGCAGGAAAUCUUUAUGGCAUACAGAAGUUGA